AUUCCAGCUCCAAUAGCGUAUAUUAAAGUUGUUGCAGUUAAAAAGCUCGUAGUUGGAUUUCUGGUUUGAUGCCCUGGCCCGCUUCAAAUUUUGGAGUGUGUGCCGGCUGUGCGUCUGCCAUCCUUCUAGAAAACGUUCGUACCCUUCACUGGGCCGCGUUCGAGAUCUAGAUCUUUUACUUUGAAAAAAUUAGAGUGUUUAAAGCAGGCAGUUGCUAUGAAUACAUUAGCAUGGAAUAAUAAUCUAGGACUUCGGUUCUAUUUUGUUGGUUUCUAGUACUGAAGUAAUGAUUGAUAGGGAUAGUUGGGGGUGCUAGUAUUGAGCGGCCAGAGGUGAAAUUCUUGGAUUUGUUAAAGACGGACUACUGCGAAAGCAUUUGCCAAGGACGUUUUCAUUA
rnacentral:rRNA from 1 species